AUUGAACGCUGGCGGCAGGCCUAACACAUGCAAGUCGAACGGUAACAGGAAGCAGCUUGCUGCUUUGCUGACGAGUGGCGGACGGGUGAGUAAUGUCUGGGAAACUGCCCGAUGGAGGGGGAUAACUACUGGAAACGGUAGCUAAUACCGCAUAACGUCGCAAGACCAAAGAGGGGGACCUUAGGGCCUCUUGCCAUCGGAUGUGCCCAGAUGGGAUUAGCUAGUAGGUGGGGUAACGACUCACCUAGGCGACGAUCCCUAGCUGGUCUGAGAGGAUGACCAGCCACACUGGAACUGAGACACGGUCCAGACUCCUACGGGAGGCAGCAGUGGGGAAUAUUGCACAAUGGGCGCAAGCCUGAUGCAGCCAUGCCGCGUGUAUGAAGAAGGCCUUCGGGUUGUAAAGUACUUUCAGCGGGGAGGAAGGGAGUAAAGUUAAUACCUUUGCUCAUUGACGUUACCCGCAGAAGAAGCACCGGCUAACUCCGUG
rnacentral:rRNA from 1 species